CCCUUAGAUGUUCUGGGCUGCACACGUGCUACACUGGCAGGUUCAGCGAGCUUCAUGCCCUGAUCUGAAAGGAAUGGGAAAUCUUUUCAAAACCUGCCGUGCUUGGGAUAGAUGUUUGCAAUUAUUCAUCUUCAACGAGGAUUGCCUUGUAAGCGCACGUCAUCAGCGUGCAUUGAAUACGACCCUGUAUUCUGUACACACCGCCCGUCGCUCCUACCGAUUGAAGUUUUCGGUGAGUUGACAGGAGGAUUUUUUUGAAACUGGUUCGCCAGUGGAUUUUAGAUCCAAAUGCCAACGAAUCGAUGGCUUUAGAGGAAGGUGAAGUCGUAACA
rnacentral:rRNA from 1 species